GAUAUUCUAUUCAUGUCCGAAACUUCUUUAUUUAAAAUUUUUCUACAGCAUAUAUCUGAUCUACAUAUAUUUCGACUGCAGUGACUGCACAUUGCUUUGUAUGCAAAUUUGCAUUCUAGGGUGGAGAGCUGGCUUC